AGCAGCUGAUCCUCUUCGGAGGUGACGCUUGUGGAACGAGCGGCGGACGGGUGAGUAACACGUGGGCAACCUGCCUGUAAGACUGGGAUAACCCCGGGAAACCGGGGCUAAUACCGGAUAAUACUUUUCAUCACCUGAUGUGAAGUUGAAAGGUGGCUUUUAGCUACCACUUACAGAUGGGCCCGCGGCGCAUUAGCUAGUUGGUGAGGUAACGGCUCACCAAGGCAACGAUGCGUAGCCGACCUGAGAGGGUGAUCGGCCACACUGGGACUGAGACACGGCCCAGACUCCUACGGGAGGCAGCAGUAGGGAAUCUUCCGCAAUGGACGAAAGUCUGACGGAGCAACGCCGCGUGAGUGAUGAAGGUUUUCGGAUCGUAAAGCUCUGUUGUUAGGGAAGAACAAGUGCCGUUCGAAUAGGGCGGCACCUUGACGGUACCUAACCAGAAAGCCCCGGCUAACUACGUGCCAGCAGCCGCGGUAAUACGUAGGGGGCAAGCGUUGUCCGGAAUUAUUGGGCGUAAAGCGCGCGCAGGCGGUCCUUUAAGUCUGAUGUGAAAGCCCACGGCUCAACCGUGGAGGGUCAUUGGAAACUGGAGGACUUGAGUACAGAAGAGGAGAGUGGAAUUCCACGUGUAGCGGUGAAAUGCGUAGAGAUGUGGAGGAACACCAGUGGCGAA
rnacentral:rRNA from 1 species